UUUAGAACGGAAAACAAUAAGAAACACUUGUCGACAGAUCUAUCAAAAUUAAAUAUACUCUUACCAAAUAAUCUUAACUAUACACAUUCUUCUAUUGUCCCAGAGUUUAUCCUUUGGAUUCUAUUUCUUUAAAACAUGUUCGCCAAAUGCAGAUGCCCCACAGUUUUGCCAUAAAGUGAACUGAUGCAGUAACUGCCUGUAUCCUGUGGAAUUAAAGACUUGUUCCUAGGCCUUAAAGAAGAUCGCCAUUCAACUCUUCCACAUCUCUCUCCCGGAGCUUCCAAAUGAUGACAGACUGACAAAUGUGAAUAUUCUUCCGAUUUUCAGGUUACCAUCAGCAAGAACACCGGCACUUUUCUUCGUCUCAAAAAAAGCCUGCACUGAAAAAGCCUGGACUGAAAAAGCAUGCUCAUAGAAACAAUGGAAUAAUUAUUUUAGAAAGGAACAAUGCCUACUUGUACAGCAUCAUAAAACAUUCAUAGACUGUGCAUGAUAGACAGAACCUCAAACAAAUGCUGUAUUUAAUAUUUUCUGAAGAUAAUUUUCAAGAUGCCUUUCAUAUACAGUACUGUAUGUGAAUGUGUUUUGUUUCUGUGUAACCUGCUGUAUUUUAAAAUUAGUAAACUAUUCUGAGAUUUGUAAG
rnacentral:lncRNA from 1 species